UUAAGAAAUGUAAGGAUGUUAAUAGUAUUCUUACUUGACUAAGGCUCCGGAGGAAGCCACGGCUAACUCUGUGCCAGCAGCCGCGGUAAUACAGAGGUGGCAAGCGUUGUUCGGAAUUAUUGGGCGUAAAGAGCACGUAGGCGGCCCUGCAAGUCAGCUGUGAAAGCCUCCUGCUUAACGGGAGAAGUGCAGUUGAAACUACGGGGCUAGAGUGCGGAAGGGGAGAGUGGAACUUCUGGUAAU
rnacentral:rRNA from 1 species